CCUCUGCCGUUACAGAGAUUCCUCCUUCUUCUGCUCCAAGUUUUAAUAAGGAGGAUAUAUUGUUGGUUCAGCUGCAAGUUCUUAACUUCACCGUAUUUUAUAUACUCCGGCCAUCACGGAUCGCCACAAGGCCUGCUGCACGGUGUGAUUUAAAAUGUGUUCUGAUUAAGUCUACAGAAGUGGUCCUGCUCCCCAAUGGAGGAAGGAGAAGAACAUCAUAAAUAUACAUUGUUUAAGUGUAAAUUCCACUUUGCACUCAUAGGCUA